rnacentral:rRNA from 1 species
CAAAGAGUCCCUCCCGACUGUUUACCAAAAACACAGCACUCUGCUAACUCGUAAGAGGAUGUAUAGGGUGUGACGCCUGCCCGGUGCUCGAAGGUUAAUUGAUGGGGUUAGCAUUAGCGAAGCUCUUGAUCGAAGCCCGAGUAAACGGCGGCCGUAACUAUAACGGUCCUAAGGUAGCGAAAUUCCUUGUCGGUUAAAUACCGACCUGCAUGAAUGGCGUAACGAGAUGGGAGCUGUCUCAAAGAGGGAUCCAGUGAAAUUGUAGUGGAGGUGAAAAUUCCUCCUACCCGCGGCAAGACGGAAAGACCCCGUGGACCUUUACUACAGCUUGACACUGCUAUUUGGAUAAGAAUGUGCAGGAUAGGUGGGAGGCUUUGAGUAUAUGACGCCAGUUGUAUAUGAGCCAUUGUUGAGAUACCACUCUUUCUUAUUUGGGUAGCUAACCAGCUUGAGUUAUCCUCAAGUGGGACAAUGUCUGGUGGGUAGUUUGACUGGGGCGGUCGCCUCCCAAAUAAUAACGGAGGCUUACAAAGGUUGGCUCAUAGCGGUUGGAAAUCGCUAGUAGAGUAUAAAGGUAUAAGCCAGCUUAACUGCAAGACAUACAAGUCAAGCAGAGACGAAAGUCGGUCUUAGUGAUCCGGUGGUUCUGUGUGGAAGGGCCAUCGCUCAAAGGAUAAAAGGUACCCCGGGGAUAACAGGCUGAUCUCCCCCAAGAGCUCACAUCGACGGGGAGGUUUGGCACCUCGAUGUCGGCUCAUCGCAUCCUGGGGCUGGAGCAGGUCCCAAGGGUAUGGCUGUUCGCCAUUUAAAGCGGUACGCGAGCUGGGUUCAGAACGUCGUGAGACAGUUCGGUCCCUAUCUGCCGUGGGCGUAAGAAGAUUGAAGAGAUUUGACCCUAGUACGAGAGGACCGGGUUGAACAAACCACUGGUGUAGCUGUUGUUCUGCCAAGAGCAUCGCAGCGUAGCUAAGUUUGGAAAGGAUAAACGCUGAAAGCAUCUAAGCGUGAAGCCAACUCUAAGAUGAAUCU